rnacentral:rRNA from 1 species
GAUGAACGCUGGCGGCGUGCCUAAUACAUGCAAGUCGAGCGAAUGGAUUAAGAGCUUGCUCUUAUGAAGUUAGCGGCGGACGGGUGAGUAACACGUGGGUAACCUGCCCAUAAGACUGGGAUAACUCCGGGAAACCGGGGCUAAUACCGGAUAACAUUUUGAACCGCAUGGUUCGAAAUUGAAAGGCGGCUUCGGCUGUCACUUAUGGAUGGACCCGCGUCGCAUUAGCUAGUUGGUGAGGUAACGGCUCACCAAGGCAACGAUGCGUAGCCGACCUGAGAGGGUGAUCGGCCACACGGGGACUGAGACACGGCCCAGACUCCUACGGGAGGCAGCAGUAGGGAAUCUUCCGCAAUGGACGAAAGUCUGACGGAGCAACGCCGCGUGAGUGAUGAAGGCUUUCGGGUCGUAAAACUCUGUUGUUAGGGAAGAUCAAGUGCUAGUUGAAUAAGCUGGCACCUUGACGGUACCUAACCAGAAAGCCACGGCUAACUACGUGCCAGCAGCCGCAGUAA